UGAAAUAUCUUAAUCGCCGCUCGAUCGUUACUACUGCUACCUGAAUUCCAUGCUGAUGUCAGUUUCUGAAGCAUCCAGGUAGAGCUGCACAUAGCAACGAAUGAUUCGUAUAGAGGAUUUGACGGAUUCCAUGAUCGGAGAACCGGAUCCCACCACCUCAAUUCUCCGAAAAGAGAGGAUUCUAUUUCGGGAUGGAUCGUUUUCCUGUACUUGUUCUUGCAGAAUGUCGCGAAAUUGCAAUCGGGCAUUUCAACUAACAACUUAACUGCAUCGAUCGUCAAGUGGUCGACCAACUGGGAAAGAUAAUCUUCGUGUUCGUCGUUCCUUGUUCCUUCAGGUUCCUCUUUCAAUCUGUCGCAUCUGAAUCCGUCAAACAACGUUAAGCAGACAUGAGAUUGAAGAGCGUAGCAGCAAUGACCUUUCUUCUGGAAAUUGACAUUUGGAUAAAGUGAGUUCGCCACCAAAUCCAAUUCCCAUCCCGAUCUCUUCAUGUGAUGGAUCAGUAGUUUGGUGAAUCUUCUAGCUUCCUUCCACGAUUCCUUCAGAACGGCUUCGAACACCGAUAGUUGCAGAAACAACGAAUCUCUGUUGGUGGAUGGAGGAAUGUCUUUUAAUCUGGUAUCCAAUGUGGAAUUGUACUUCUCCAUCUCCUUUAGAUCUCGUUUCAGAACUUCUACCCUUGCUUCCUUGUCGUCGAUGUCAGAUUGGAGACGGUUGAACACGGUUUCAAGCAUUCUCAAAAUGCUCUGGUUCUCCUGAACCUGCGAUUCUGACUCUGACAGCAAUAAUGGCACAUUGGAGUUAGAUUUCGUGUAGGCUCCUUUUAGGUCAGAUAAGCGACGGAGGUGGGAAACGGCAGUACGGUCGGCGGAUUGGAUACCGUCUAGGUUAAAUGGCUCCUGGAAUGAUUGGAGCUGGAGAUACGCCGCAUGGAAGGAGGAGAUGGUUGUGAAAAUAGACGAAACUAGGGUAUUCCUAAAAAUAUAGUGGUGUGAUUUAGCAGCUGAGGUUGGAAGAGAAAAAUGAUGAGAUUCAGGUUUGUUGACAGGUUCAUCAGGUUUUAGAACGACAACACGUUGACCGGUGAUAAUCUCGCCGACGACGGAUGUGAGAACUCUGACGGUCUCUUCUACAACUCCAUUUUCCACACCCUCUUCUCCUCCUUCCUCUUCGUCUUCGUCUUCCUCCUCCUCUUCUGCAAAGAAUUCGACGGUUUUGGUCUUGACUGCAAGUGCAAACUUCUGAAGCAUCUCGAGAUCUCUGCUUUACUUUCUCUCUCCGUCUAUAUAUUAAAUAUAUUAUGCAAAUAAAUCUUCCUGAUUCUCACAAUCUCACAGGACUAACAGGAGAUAGAAAAAGCUGGACGGGCAUUGGGAUGGGAAGAAACAGAGGAAGGAGUGAUCUGUUCUGAACUUCGCUAGGGUUUUUGCUCUCUAUAUCCGAUCAAAGACGGUGGUUGCGAAAUGGGCAGGAGAGAUUUGAAACAGCUGUCUCAAUCCGUAAAAGAAAUCAGAAUUGGGUCGGUCGGUGAGACACUCUCCUUUCUCUCUCUCUCUUCCUUCUGUAAAAAAAAUAAAAGAAGUUUUUUGUCCCUUUUUUAACCCCUCUUUUGAAUCUUCUUUGCUUCCAUUAGGAACAUCGGCAAAGAAUAACCCCAGAUUGAAGCAAACAGCCCAUGUUUUCAGAAUGAUUACCAUUUACUACGUUUGAAGUGUAAUUACAGCCAUGGACCAGUAAGGUAAUAAGUGAAGGUAUCUUUCUAUUGACAUCUUAUGAUCUUAAUGAAAAUUAUAUACACAUCGGAUUAGAACUAAUUGAUUGUAAUUACGAUGAUAAUUACUAAAUACCUUAAAUUGUCAACGUUGAAUCGUUGAUGUUAAAUCAUCUUCAUCCUGGUUGCAAUUUGCACCAGGUGUGUAUAAAUAGUAUCCUAAUUAUUAUUAAAUGAGUCGUCAGUCAUGAAUACAUUUAUUGUAUUCAAUACAAUUGAUGGUAAAAUACUGUAUAGUGUAUGACCACAAAGCUGAAAGCGUGCAUCAGGCGAAGGGAAGUACCAGGAUUAUUAUUAAAAAAAAGGAGGUACCAGAUAUUAAAUACAGUGGUGUACUUUUUUUCUAUUUUGAAUUUAAUAAGGGUUUCCUAAAUCACUCUCACUGAUUUUCUUGAUGAUCUUGUGAUAGUCUUUAACGAGGAUUAAUUGAUGCAGAGGAGUUUGAAAACAAAAACAAUCUGUUAUAGAACUUGUAGAAAUUUCUAUAUAUUUUUUUAAUCUCUAAACUAACAGAUAAACUGAUCUUUUUUAAUCUCUAAUUUAUUUUUAAAACCUUUAUACAUGUACAAUACCAGAUUACAAUUUACAAGAUGAUAACUUAUGAGACGAAUGUUUUUUGAAUUUAUUUAAUUAUUAUACAUUUAUGGUUUUCAUCUGAAACCAUAAUAUUUAAAAACUUUAGAGAAUUUCGAACCUAACCAUUAAUUUAUUUUUAGUUUAAAUCCACAUAGAUUAAAGUAAUUUACUCUAGAUUGUUGCAAAAAUAUCUUUAUUCAUUGUAUAAUUCUCAAAUAAUAAGUUUUCACCUAAAUUUUGUUUUAUACAUUUAUACCCAUGUUAUUAAGUAUUAAUAUAUGUCAUUAUAUUUUGGCAGAUGAUUGAGGAAAGAUAUUUCUUGUAAAUAAAAAGUUCAUCGGAUUUUGGUCAAUUAAUUUCAACCAGAAAUAGCAUUCCAACAUAUUUUUGAUGAUGGACAUUUCUUUUUUAAAAUAUGUAGAAAUUAAAAUUAUAUACCAG
rnacentral:lncRNA from 1 species